rfam:Sharpea azabuensis strain DSM 20406 genome assembly, contig: Ga0059086_1097
GGCGGGAUAGCUCAGUUGGCUAGAGCAUUCGGUUCAUACCCGGAGUGUCGAGGGUUCGAAUCCCCCUCCCGCUA